ACUAUUAUAUAGUACUCGGACAACACUAAUAUUCAGGGUUGGGGGUCCUCUGGCGGGCGCUCCCCCGCCGAAGCCAGGGCGCGGCUAGGCUGCGUGGCCCGCCAAAGCAACAAACAUAGUAUUCAAGGGUGGGAGUUCGACCCUUUGCAGGGCCGAAAACACUGUAAUGAUCCUUCCGCAGGUUCACCUACGGAAACCUUGUUACGACUUUUACUUCCUCUAAAUGACCAAGA
rnacentral:misc_RNA from 1 species